CCUACGGGAGGCAGCAGUAGGGAAUCUUCCACAAUGGACGAAAGUCUGAUGGAGCAACGCCGCGUGAGUGAAGAAGGUUUUCGGAUCGUAAAACUCUGUUGUUGGAGAAGAAUGUAUUUGAUAGUAACUGAUCAGGUAGUG
rnacentral:rRNA from 1 species